UAGUAUAUGAAAGUGACAAAAUAAGAGACUCUCUAUCAUGAAGAUCAUGGUGCUACUUUGAAGCACAAGUGUGGAAAAAGGAUAGUAACAUUGCCCCUUUUCUCUUUUUCUCUCAUUUUUUUUGUUUGGGCCUUCUCUUUUUUUUAUGGCCUCUUUUUUUCGUCCGGAGUCUCAUCCCGACUUGUGGGGGAAUCAUAGUAUCCAUCAUCCUUUCCUCACAUGGGACAAUGCUCUAAUAAUGAAGAUCAUCACACUUUCAUUUACUUACAACUCAAGAAUUACAACUCGAUACUUAGAACAAAAUAUGACUCUAUGUAGAUGCCUCCGGCGGUGUACAGGGAUGUGCAAUGAAUCAAGAGUGACAUGUAUAUAAAAAAAUAUGAACGGUGGCUUUGCCACAAAUACGAUGUCAACUACAUGAUCAUGCAAGGCAAUAUGACAAUGAUGAAGCGUGUCAUAAUAAAAUGGAACGGUGGAAGUUGCAUGUCAAUAUAUCUCGGAAUGGCAAUGGAAAUGCCAUAAGAGGUAGGUAUGGUGGCUGUUUUGAGGAAGAUAUAAGGAGGCUUAUGUGUGAUAGAGUGUAUCAUAUCACGUGGUUUGGAUGCACCGGUGAAGUUUGCACCAACUCUCAAGGUGAGAAAGGGUAAUGCACGGUACCGAAAAGGCUAGCAACGAUGGAAGGGUGAGAGUGCGUAUAAUCCAUGGACUCAACAUUACUCAUAAAGAACUCGCAUACUUAUUGCAAAAAUCUACAAGUCAUCAAAACCAAGCACUACGCGCAUGCUCCUAGGGGGAUAGAUUGGUAGGAAAAUACCAUCGCUCAUCCCUGACCGCCACUCAUAAGGAAGGCAAUCAAAGAACACCUCAUGCUUCGAAUUUGUCACACAAUGGUUACCAUGCGUGCAUGCUACGGGACUUGCAAACCUCAACACAAGUAUUUCUCAAUUUCACAAUUACUCAACUAGCACGACUCUAAUAUCACCAUCUUUAUAUCUCAAAACAAUUAUCAAGUAUCAAACUUCUCAUAGUAUUUAAUGCACUCUAUAUGAAAGUUUUUAUUAUACCCAUCUUGGAUGCCUAUCAUAUCAGGACUAAUUUUAUAGCCAAAGCAAAUUACCAUGCUGUUCGAAAAGACUCCCAAAAUAAUAUAAGUGAAGAAUGAGAGAUCAAUAGUUUCUAUAAAAUAAAACCACCACCGUGCUCUAAAAAGAUAUAAGUGAAGCACUAGAGCAAAAUUAUCUAGCUCAAAAGAUAUAAGUGAAGCACAUAGAGUAUUCUAAUAAAUUAUGAUUCAUGUGUGUCUCUCCCAAAGGUGUGUACCGCAAGGAUGAUUGUGGUAAACUAAAAAGCAGACUCAAAUCAUAUAAGACGCUCCAAGCAAAACACAUUUCAUGUGGUGAAUAAAAAUAUAGCCUCAAUUAAAGUUACCGAUAGACGAAGACGAAAGAGGGGAUGCCUUCCGGGGCAUCCCCAAGCUUAGGCUUUUGGUUGUCCUUGAAUUUUACCUUGGGGUGCCUUGGGCAUCCCCAAGCUUAGGCUCUUGCCACUCCUUAUUCCAAAAUCCAUCAAAUCUUUACCCAAAAACUUGAAAACUUCACAACACAAAACUUAAACAGAAAAUCUCAUGAGCUCCGUUAGUAUAAGAAAACAAACCACCACUUUAAGGUACUGUAAUGAAAUCAUUAUUUAUUUAUAUUGGUGUUAAACCUACUAUAUUCCAACUUCUCUAUGGUUCAUACCCCCCGAUACUAGCCAUAGAUUCAUCAAAAUAAGCAAACAACACACGAAAAACAGAAUCUGUCAAAACUGAACAGUCUGUAGUAAUCUGUAUCAAAUAAAUACUUCUGGAACUCUAAAAAUUCUUAAAUAAAUUGGUGGACGUGCGGAAUUUGUCUGUUAAUCAUAUGCAAAAAGAAUCAACCUAAAAGCACUCUCCAGUAAAAAAAUGGCAUCUAAUCUCGUGAGCGCAAAAGUUUCUGUUUUUUACAGCAAGAUUGCAAAGACUUCACCCAUGUCUUCCCAAAGGUUCUACUUGGCACAAACACUAAUUAAAACAUAAAACCACAUCUAAACAGAGGCUAGAUGAAUUAUUUAUUACUAAACAGGAACAAAAAGCAAAAAAAAAAAAAUUGGGUUGCCUCCCAACAAGCGCUAUCGUUUAACGCCCUUAGCUAGGCAUUGAUAAUUUCGAUGAUGCUCACAUGAAAGACAAGAAUUGAAGCACAAAGAGAGCAUCAUAUAGCAUAUGAAAAACACAUCUAAGUCUAACAUGCUUCCUAUGCAUAGGCAUCUUAUAGGCAAAUAAAUUAUCAAGACAAGCAAAAACUAGCAUAUGCAAGAAAGAAGUGAGAAACAAUAACAAUCUCAACAUUACGAGAGGUAAUUUAGUAACAUGAAAAUUUCUACAACCAUAUUUUCCUCUCUCAUAAUAAUUCAAUGUGGGAUCGUAUUCAAAUUCAACAAUAUAGCUCUCACAUAAAAUUUUCUCUACAUGAUCCACAUGCAUGCAAAGUUGACACUCUUCCAAAAUAGUGGGAAUAUCAUUAACUAAAGUCAUGACCUCUCCAAACCCACUUUUAUCAAAAACUUCGUAAGAUCGAACAUUAUCCAAAUAUGUGGGAUCUAAAGUUGACACUCUUCCAAACCCACUUUCAGUAUUAUUGCAAACAUUAUUAUCAAUCUCGUAUUCAUCAUGGGGCUUAAAUAAAUUUUCAAGAUUGUAAGAAGAAUCACCCCAAUCGUGAUCAUUGCAACAAGUAGUAGACAUAGCAAAACUAGCAUCCCCAAGCUUAGGGUUUUGCAUAUUAUUAGCACAAUUGACAUCAAUAGAAUUUAUAUUAAAAUCAUUGCAAUCAUGCUUUUCAUCGAAGGAAUUAUCAAGUAUGGGUGCAAUAGCAACGAUCUCAUGUUUAACAUAAGGAACUAUAGCAAAUUCAUCUUCAUAAAUAUUGGCAUCAUGGCCACAAGAAUAGCAAGCAUCAUGUUCAUCAAGGGAUAUUUCAAUCAAAUCAUCGGAAUCAUAAUUAUCUAUACUCAUGCAUAUCAUUAUUUUCUUCCAAAGCGGUCAUUCUUUCAAUAAAUUCUUUGACAUAGACAUUAUGAGCAUAGUUUUCAUAGCAAUAUUUAAGUAUGUCAAAAUUUUCAGAUUCGUAGAGAGUAAUAUCAUACUUCUCAAUCAAAGAAGCAACUUCAUAAGCACCCUUAAAAGCAACAAAUUCUUCAAUUUGUUCGAUAUCGUAGUAACUAUAAACACCCUUUGCAUAAGAAGAUAAGAUUUCAUUAUCAUUAAACUCGCAUAGGUAGGGGAGGUGUUUUUUAGGGUUCUUAGAGCAACAAGUAAAAUCAUAAAUUUCACAAAGAUUCACGCAAGUCACGGAGUACCUGCACAAACAAUCAAGAACCUUGCAACCAACGCGAUAAAGGGGUUGUCAAUCCCUUCACGGCCACUUGCAAAAGUGAGAUCUGGUAAAGAUAAUAAGAUCAAUAUUUUUGGUAUUUUUGUUGUAUAGAUUGGAAAUAAAGAUUGCAAAAUAAAUAAAUAUUCAACUAGAAUUAUAGAUCGGAAACUUAUAUGAUGUAAAGUAGACCCGGGGGCCAUAGGUUUCACUAGUGGCUUCUCUCAAGAUAGCAUAUAUUAAGGUGGGUGAACAAAUUACUGUCGAGCAAUUGAUAGAAAAGCGCAUAGUUAUGAGAAUAUCUAGGCAUGAUCAUGAAUAUAGGCAUCACGUCCGUGUCAAGUAGACCGAAACGAUUCUGCAUCUACUACUAUUACUCCACACAUCGACCGCUAUCCAGCAUGCAUCUAGAGUAUUAAGUUCAUAAGAAUAGAGUAACGCAUUAGGCAAGAUGACAUGAUUUAGAGGGAUAAACUCAACCAAUAUGAUAUAAACCCCAUCUUUUUAUCCUCGAUGGCAACAAUAUAAUACGUGCCUUGCUGCCCCUACUGUCACUGGGAAAGGACACCGCAAGAUUGAACCCAAAGCUAAGCACUUCUCCCAUUGCAAGAAGGAUCAAUCUAGUAGGCCAAACUAAACCGAUAAUUCGAAGAGACUUGCAAAUAUAUCAAAUCUUGCAUACAAGAAUCCAGAGAAGAACCAAAUAUUGUUCAUAGAUAAUCUUGAUCAUAAACCCACAAUUCAUCGGAUCUCGGCAAACACACCGCAAAAGAAUAUUACAUCGAAUAGAUCUCCAAGAACAUCGAGGAGAACUUUGUAUUGAGAACCAAAGAGAGAGAAGAAGCCAUCUAGCUAAUAACUAUGGACCCGAAGGUUUAUGGUAAACUACUCACACAUCAUCGGAGAGGCUAUGGUGUUGAUGUAGAAGCCCUCCGUGAUCGAAUCCCCCUCCGGCAGAUCGCCGGAAAAGGCCCCAGAUGGGAUCUCACGGGUACAGAAGGUUCCGGCGGUGGAAAAGUGGUUUCGUGGCUCUCCUGAAUGUUUUUAGGGUACAAGGGUAUAUAUAGGCGAAAGAAGUACGUCGGUGGAGCUACGAGGGGCCCACGAGGGUGGGGCGCGCCUACCCCCCUGGGCGCGCCCUCCUACCUCGUGGCCGCCUCGUUGCAUCUCUGACUUCCACUCCAAGUCUCCUGGAUUGCGUUUGUUCCAAGAAAGAUCCUCGCGAAGGUUUCAUUCUGUUUGGAUUCCGUUUGAUAUUCUUUUUUGCGAAACACUGAAAUAGGCAAAAAAAUAGCAACUCGCACUGGGCCUCCGGUUAAUAGGUUAGUCCCAAAAAUAAUAUAAAAGAGCAUAUUAAAGCCCAUUAAAUAUCCAAAAUAGAUAAUAUAAUAGCAUGGAACAAUCAAAAAUUAUAUAUACGUUGGAGACGUAUCAGUCAUGUCUACAUAGUUCUCGAACCCGUAGGAUCCGCACGCUUAACGUUCGAUGACGAUUUGUAUUAUGAGUUAUGUGAUUUGAUGACCGAAGCUUGGUCGAGUCCCGGAUGAGAUCACGGGCAUGAUGAGGAGUCUCGAAAUGGUCGAGAGGUAAAGAUUGAUAUAUUGGAAGGUAGUAUUAGACACCGGAAGGGUUCUGGAAUGCAUCGGGUACAUACCGGAGUACCGGAGGGGUUACCGGAACCCCCGGGGGAAAGAUAUGGGCCAUAGGAGAGAGGCUAACCAGCCCACAAGGGGCUGGUGCGUCCCCCACAAGGGAGGAGGCCGAAUUGGACUUGGGAAGGGGGCGCCACCCCCCUUUCCUUCUCCUACUCCCUCUCCUUCCCCUUUUCCCCUCCGGUAGAAGGAAAAAAGGGUAGGGCCGAAUCCUACUAGGACUGGAGUCCUAGUAGGACUCCCAUCUCCCUGGCACGCCCCUUGUUGUCUGGCCUCCUCCUCCCCUCCUUUAUAUACGGGGGCAGGGAGGCACCCCAGAGGCACAACAGACAAUCUAUUAGCCGUGUGCGGUGCCCCCCUCCACAAUUCAACACCUCGAUCAUAUCGUCGAAGUGCUUAGGCGAAGCCCUGCGCUGGUAACUUCAUCAUCACCGUCGUCACGCCGUCGUGCUAACGAAACUCUACCUCGUCCUCAACUGGAUCAAGAGCUCGAGGGACGUCAUCGAGCUGAACGUGUGCUGAACACGGAGGUGCCGUACGUUCGGUACUUGGAUCGGUUGGAUCGUGAAGACGUUCGACUACAUCAACCACGUUACUUAACGCUUCCGCUUUCGGUCUACGAGGGUACGUGGACACACUCUCCCCGCUCGUUGCUAUGCUUCUCCUAGAUAGAUCUUGUAUGAUCGUAGGCAAAAAAAUUAAAUACUACGUUCACCAACAGUGGCAUCAGAGCCAGGUCUAUGCGUAGAUGUUAUAUGCACGAGUAGAACACAAAGAGUUGUGGGCGAUAAUAGUCAUAGUGCUUACCAGCAAUGUCUUACUUUGAUUUGGCAGUAUAGUUGGAUGAAGCGGCCCGGACCGACAUUACAUGAACACGUUCAUGAGACUGGUUCUACCAACGUGCUUUGCACACAGGUGGCUUGCGGGUGUCUGUUUCUCCAACUUUAGUUGAAUCGAGUUUGACUACGCCCGGUCCUUGUUGAAGGUUAAAACGGCACACUUGACGAAAAAUCAUUGUGGUUUUGAUGCGUAGGUAAGAACGGUUCUUGCUAGAAGCCCGUAGCAGCCACGUAAAACUUGCAACAACAAAGUAGAGGACGUCUAACUUGUUUUUGCAGGGCAUGUUAUGAUGUGAUAUGGUCAAGACGUGAUGAGAUAUAAAUUGUUGUAUGAGAUGAUCAUGUUUUGUUAAAGUUAUCGGCAACUGGCAGGAGACUUAUGGUUGUCUCUUUAUUGCAUAAGAUGCAAGCGCCAUAUAAUUGCUUUACUUUAUCGCUAUGCGAUAGCAAUAGUUGAAAAAGCAAUAGUUGGUGAGACGACCAUGUGACGACACAUUGAUAAAGAUCAAGAUGAUGGAGAUCAUGGUGUCAUGCCGGUGAUAAUGAAGAUCAUGACGGUACUUUGGAGAUGGAGAUCAAAGGAACAAGAUGAUGAUGGCCAUAUCAUGUCACAUAUUUUGAUUGCAUGUGAUGUUUAUCUUUUAUGCAUCUUAUUUUGCUUAGUACGACGGUAGCAUUAUGAGAUGAUCCCUUACUAAAAUUUGAAGGUAUAAGUGUUCUCCCUGAGUAUGCACCGUUGCGACAGUUCUUCGUGCUGAGACACCACGUGAUGAUCAGGUGUGAUAAGCUCUACUUUCACAUACAACGGGUGCAAGCCAGUUUUGCACAUGCAGAAUACUCGGGUUAAACUUGAUGAGCCUGUCAUAUGCAGAUAUGGCCUCGGGACACUGAGACCGAAAGGUCAAACGUGAAUCAUAUAGUAGAUAUGAUUAACAUAGUGAUGUUCACCAUUGAAAGCUACUUCAUCUCACGUGAUGAUCGGACAUGGCUUAGUUGAUAUGGAUCACAUGAUCAUUUAGAUGACUAGAGGGAUGUCUAUCUAAGUGGGAGUUCUUAAGUAAUAUGAUUAAUUGAACUUAAAUUUAUCAUGAACUUAGUCCUAAUAGUAUUUGCAUAUCCAUGUUGUAGAUCAAUUGCUCGCGUAUAGCUUCCCCGUUUUAUUUAUGAUAUGUUCCGGGAGAAAACUAAGUUGAAAGUUGAUAGUAGCAAUGAUGCGGACUAGGUCCGUCAUCUGAGGAUUAUCCUCAUUGCUGCAUAGAAGAAUUAUGUCCUUGAUGCACCGCUAGGUGACAGAACUAUUUCAGGAGCAAAUGCAGACGUUAUGAACGUUUCACAAGCUCGGUAUGAUGACUACUUGAUAGUUUAGUGCACCAUGCUUUACAGCUUAGUACCGGGACUUCAAAAACGUUUUGAACGCCACGGAGCAUAUAAGAUGUUCCAAGAGUUGAAAUUGGUAUUUCAGACUCAUGCCCGAGUCGAGAGGUAUGAGACCUCUGACAAGUAUUUUUGCCUACAAGAUGGAGGAGAAUAGCUCAACCAGUGAGCAUGUUCUCAGAAUGUUUGAGUACUACAAUCGCUUGAAUCAAGUGGGAGUUAAUCUUCUAGAUAAGAUAGUGAUUGACAGAGUUCUCUAGUCACUAUCACCAAGUUACUGGAACUUCGUGAUGAACUAUAAUAUGCAAGGGAUGACAAAAACGAUUCUCCGAGCUCUUCGCGCUGCUGAAAUUGACGAAGGUAGAAAUCAAGAAAAGCAUCAAGUGUUGAUGGUUGACAAGACCACUAGUUUCAAGUAAAAGGGUGAAAGAACAUGCGGUGCCCCCAUGUUUGGUUUUGGUAAUUGAUGACAAUCUCUAUGGACUAAUGGUUGCCUUGAGUUAUAUUUGAAGGAUUUGUCCAUAGGCAUUUCUUGAAGUUCAUGUGUUGGUUUCAAGGAGUUUAUGUGGUGACCAAGGUGUUAUUAAGGAAUUACCCAAAGAUUGGUCAUGUGAGAGUUGAGCUUAUUGCAAGCAUGUCUUGGAGAAGAAGAUUGUGUGAUCAUUCAUGUAUAUCUUCAAGACAUCAUCCAAAUGAAGAGAGUUGAAAAGAUUCAAGGUUGAUCAAGACUAAGUCAAGAGUGAAUCAACUUGAUCAACUCACAAAGCAUAGAAGAUGUACCGAGAGGGAUCAAGCGAUCCCAUGGUGUGGUAAGCAUUGUCAAUUACGCUUUGUGUACUAACCCAUGAUCUUCGUGAGAGUUCUUUGUGAAGAUGUUGCGGUGUGCAAGUUCAAGUGAAGCAUCAUGAAGAGAUCAAAUGCUUGAAGCUUGCCGUCCAUUGUUGUGACAAUGGACUUGCGAAGAUGUGCGGAAGAGUGGCUCACCCAUAGUGGAGUAUGGGGGAGCAAUCAACUAGUCUUCAUCGAGCCAACGCAACCAAGAAAGGUGGUCCAACUUGAGGGAGUCAAGAUCGUCAUCAUCUAGCUCAAGUGGACCAUGUGCAAGGCAAAGGUUUGCCCUUGAUAGGUUUUCUAUUUUACCGGUCUCAUGAUGGUAGUUGGGAGACCGGGUUAUAGGAUCGAUUGCCGUACUAUCAAGGGGGGCUCUCGAUGAGUAGCUUGAUCGUAUCGUUCAUAGAGAGCUCAAACCAUUACAUCCUUGCAUCAUCUUUAUUGGUUCUUGCUUGGUUCUUCUCUUUGUGAGUUUUGGAGCCUAUGGUCAUCUUGAUGACAAGCUCGAGUUCAUCGAAAACGGAGUUCACUCGCAUCUUCUAUGCCGGUUCUUCUCGGUUGGAGGUUUCACUCCUCUAUUUGUUAGGCAUACCUCCCCUGCUAGUUUUGAUGCUACUCGUCGUCUUGUAUCCAACAAGCUUGAGUUUGCUCAAUUCGGAGCUCAUAUGCAGAAGUUAUGGCAGUUUUGGUUUCCCGUGGAGUAUUCUUGUUUUCGUGGAAGUGGCUUUAGGAUGGUCCCAGCGGUAGUACCGCGGUACCCAGCGGUAGUACCGCUUAGGGGUCACAAGCGGCAGUACCGCUCCGCAGCGGUAGUACCGCUGGUGGGUCCUCAGCAGUAGUACCGCUACGGUACCACGCCCCUACCGCGUCGACUCGAGGGGUCAUUUUCCGUGUCGGAUAGUGCGGUACUUCGCAGCGGCAGUAGGGCGGCAGUACCUCUCACGAGCGGUAGUACCGCCCAACCACCGCGGCAGUACCGCUCGGGUCUGUCACUCUCCUGCCCUCCAGACUCCACGGUAGUACCGCCCGGGGGAGCGGUAGUACCGCUGUGAUCAGCGGUAGUACCGCUGCCUCUUGCGGUAGUACCGCCCUCUGCGGGGCUGUUUUGGGGGUAACGGUUGGAUUGUUCCCCCCACUAUAUAAGGGGGUCUUCUUCCCCAUUCUACCUUAUCCUUUGAGCUCAUGUUCUUCCCCCAUUGUUGACCUUCUUCGAGCUUGCUAACUCUCAAUCCCUCCAUGGAUUCUUGCUAGUUUUUGAGGGAAAAAGAGAGAGGAGAUCUAGAUCCACAUUUCCACCAAUCACUUUCUCCUCUAUGUGAGGGGAACCCCUUGGAUCUAGAUCUUGGAGUUCUUGGUGUUCUCCUUCUUGUUCUUCCUCUCAUUUUCCUCCCUAGCAUUAGUUGCUUCGGUAGGAUUUGAGAGAGAAGGACUUGGGCACUCCGUGUGCCCUUGCCAUUGCAUUUGGUGCAUCGGUUUGAGUUCUCCACGGUGAUACGUGGAAGUUACAAGUUGAGAAGCUUAUUACUCUUGGGUGCUUGGUACCCUUGAGCUUGUUCCUCUUGGGUGCUUGGGCGCCCUAGACGGUUGGUGGUGUUCGGAGCUCAAUCAUUGUGGUGUAAAGCUCCGGGCAAGCGUCUGGGUCUCCAAUUAGGUUGUGGAGAUCGCCCCGAGCAAUUUGACGGGUUCUGGUGACCGCCCCCAAGGGUUGCCAAAGUGUACGGAUUCGGUGACCGCCCCCAAUGGUUGCCAUUUGUACGGGUUCGGUGACCGCCCUCAAGGGUCCCUUAGUGGAAUCACGGCAUCUUGCAUUGUGCGAGGGCGUGAGGAGAUUACGGUGGCCCUAGUGGCUUCUUGGGGAGCAUUGUGCCUCCACACCGCUCCAAACGGAGAUUAGCAUCCGCAAGGGUGUGAACUUCGGGAUACAUCGUCGUCUCCGCGUGCCUCGGUUAUCUCUUAUCCGAGCUCUUUACUUAUGCACUUUACUUUGUGAUAGCCAUAUUGUUUCUUGUCAUAUAUCUUGCUAUCACUUAGUUGUUUAUCUUGCUUAGCAUAAGUUGUUGGUGCACAUAGGUGAGCCUAGUUGUUGUAGGUUUUGUGCUUGUCAAAUUAACUGCUAGGUUUAUUCCGCAUUUGUUCAAGCCUAAACCGUAAUUAUUUUAAAGCGUCUAUUCACCCCCCCCCCUCUAGGCGACAUCCACGAUCUUUCAAAGGGCAAGGGAAAGAAAGGGAACUUCAAGAAGAAUGUCAAGCAAGUUGCCACUCCCAUGAAGAAGCCCAAAGCUAGACCGAAGCCUGAAAUUGAGUGCUUCUACUGCAAAGGAAAUGGUCACUGGAAGCGGAACUGCCCCAAAUACUUGGCGGAUAAGAAGGAUGGCAAACUAAACAAAAGUAUAUAUGAUAUACAUGUUAUUGAUGUGUACUAUACUAGUAUUCAUAGUAGCCCCUGGAUAUUUGAUACUGGUUCAGUUGCUAUGAUUAGUAACUUGAAACAGGAGUUACAAAAUGAACAAAGACUAGUUGAGGGCAAGGUGACGAUGUGUGUUGGAAGUGAUUCCAAGGUUGAUAAGAUCACCAUCGCACACUCCCUUUACCUUCGGGAUUAGUGUUGAACCUAAAAUAAAUGUUAUUUGGUGUUUGCGUUGAGCAUAAUAUGAUUGGAUCAUGUUUAUUGCAAUACGUUAUUCAUUUAAGUCAAAGAAUAAUUGUUAUUCUGUUUACAUGAAUAAAACCUUAUGUGGUCAUACACCCAAGGUGAAUGGUUUAUUGAAUCUCGAUCAUAGUGAUACGCAUAUUCAUAAUAUUGAUGCCAAAAGAUGCAAAGUUGAUAAUGAUAGUGCAACAUAUUUGUGGCACUGCCGUUUAGGUCAUAUUGGUGUAAAGCGCAUGAAGAAACUCCAUGUUGAUGGGCUUUUGGAAUCACUUGAUUAUGAAGCACUUGAUGCUUGCAAACCAUGCCUCAUGGGCAAGAUGACUAAGACUCCGUUCUCCGGAACAAUGGAGCGAGCAACUGACUUAUUGGAAAUAAUACAUACUGAUGUAUGUGAUCCGAUGAGUGUUAAGGCUCGCGGCGGGUAUCGUUAUUUUCUGACCUUCACAGAUGAUUUGAGCAGAUAUGAGUAUAUCUACUUAAUGAAACACAAGUCUAAAACGUUUGAAAAGUUCAAAGAAUAUUCAGAGUGAAGUGGAGAAUCAUCGUAACAAGAAAAUAAAGUUUCUACGAUCUGAUCGCGAAGGGGAAUAGAGUUACGAGUUUGACCUUCUGAAACAAUGUGGAAUAGUUUCGCAACUCACGCCACCUGGAACACCACAACGUAAUGGUGUGUCCGAACGUCGUAACCAUACUUUAUUAGAUAUGGUGCGAUCUAUGAUGUCUCUUACCGAUUUACCUCUAUCAUUUUGGGGUUAUGCAUUAGAGAGAACUGCAUUCACGUUAAAUAGGGCACCGUCUAAAAAUCCGUUGAGAUGACACCGUAUGAACUGUUGUUUAGCAAGAAACAUAAGUUGUCGUUUCUUAAAGUUUGGGGUUGUGAUGCUUAUGUGAAAAAGUUUCAGCCUGAUAAGCUCAAACCCAAAUCGGAGAAGUGCGUCUUCAUAGGAUACCCAAAACAAACUGUUGGGUACACCUUCUAUCACAGAUCCGAAGGCAAGAUCUUUGUUGCUAAGAGUGGAUCCUUUCUAGAGAAGGAGUUUCUCUCGAAAGAAGUGAGUGGGAGGAAAGUAGAACUUGAUGAGGUAAUUGUACCUUCUCUCGAAUUGGAAAGUAGCUCAUCACUGAAGUCAGUUCCGGUGAUGCCUACACCAAUUAGUGAGGAAGUUAAUGAUGAUGAUCAUGAAACUUCAAAUCAAGUUACUACCGAACCUCGUAGGUCAACCAGAGUACGAUCUGCACCAGAGUGGUACGGUAAUCUUGUUCUAGAAGUCAUGUUGACCAUGAUGAACCUACGAACUAUGAGGAAGCGAUGAUGAGCCCAGAUUCCGGCGGAUGGGUUGAGGCCAUGAAAUCUGAGAUAGAAUCCAUGUAUGAGAACAAAGUGUGGACUUUGGUGGACUUGCCCGAUGAUCGGCAAUCCAUUGAGAAUAAAUGGAUCUUCAAGAGGAAGACAGACACUAAUAAUAGUGUUACUAUCUACAAAGCUCGACUUGUCGAAAAGGGUUUUUGACAAAUUCAAGAUGUUGACUACGAUGAGAUUUUCUCACUCGUAUCGAUGCUUAAAGUCUGUCCGAAUCAUGUUAGCAGUUGCCACAUUUUAUGAAAUCUGACAAAUGGAUAUCAAAACUGCAUUCCUUAAUGGAUUUAUUAAAGAAGAGUUGUAUAUGAUACAACCAGAAGGUUUUGUCAAUCCUAAAUGUGCUAACAAAAUGUGCAAGCUCCAGCGAUCCAUCUAUGGACUGGUGCAAGCAUCUCGGAGUUGGAAUAUACGCUUUGAUAAGUUGAUCAAAGCAUAUAGUUUUAUACAGACUUGCGGUGAAGCCUGUAUUUACAAGAAAGUGAGUGGGAGCACUACAGCCUUUCUGAUAAGUAUAUGUGAAUGACAUAUUGUUGAUCAGAAAUGAUGGAGAAUUUUCUGGAAAGCAUAAAGGAGUGUUUGAAAGGAGUUUUUCAAAGAAAGACCUCGGUGAAGUUGCUUACAUAUUGGGCAUCAAGAUCUAUAGAGAUAGAUCAAGACGCUUGAUAAGAUUUUUCAAUGAGUACAUACCUUGACAAGAGUUUUGAAGUAGUUCAAAAUGGAACAAUCAAAGAAGGAGUUCUUGCCUGUAUUGCAAGGUGUAAAGUUGAGUAAGACUCAAAACACGACCACGGCAGAAAAUAGAAAGAGAAUGAAAUUCAUUCCCUAUGCCUUAGCCAUAGGUUCUAUAAAGUAUGCUAUGUUGUGUACCAAACCUUUUAUGUACCUUGUCAUGAGUUUGGCAAGGGGGUACGAUAUUGAUCCAGGAGUGGAUCACUUGACCGCGGUCAAAAUUAUCCUUAGAAGACUAAGAGAUAUUUCUCAGUUAUGGAGGUGAUAAAGAGUUCGUCGUAAAGAGUUACGCCAAUGCAAGCUUUUACAUUGAUCCGGAUGAAUCUGAGUCUCAGUCUGGAUACAUAUUGAAAGUGGGAGCAAUUAGCUAGAGUAGCUCCAUGCAGAGCAUUGUAGACAUAGAAAAAUUGCAAAAUACAUACGGCUCUGAAUGUGACAGAACCAUUGACUAAGCUUCUCUCACAAGCAAAACAUGAUCAUACCUUAGUACUCUUUGGGUGUUAAUCACAUAGCGAUGUGAACUAGAUUAUUGACUCUAGUAAAACCCUUUGGGUAUUAGUCACAUGGUGAUGUGAACUAUUGGUGUUAUAUCACAUGGCGAUAUGAACUAGAUUAUUGACUCUAGUGCAAGUGGGAGACUAAAGUAAAUAUGCCCUAGAGGCAAUAAUAAAGUUGUUAUUUAUAUUUCAUUAUAUCAUGAUAAAUGUUUAUUAUUCAUGCUAGAAUUGUAUUAACCGGAAACUUAGUACAUGUGUGAAUACAUAGACAAAACAGAGUGUCCCUAGUAUGCCUCUACUUGACUAGCUCGUUAAUCAAAGAUGUUUAUGUUUCCUGACCAUAGACAUGUGUUUUCAUUUGAUGAACGAGAACACAUCAUUAGAGAAUGAUGUGAUGGACAAGAUCCAUCUGUUAGCUUAGUAUUAUGAUCGUUGAGUUUUAUUGCUAUUGCUUUCUUCAUGACUUAUACAUGUUCCUCUGACUAUGAGAUUAUGCAACUCCCGAAUACCGGAGGAACACCUUGUGUGCUAUCAAACGUCACAACAUAACUGGGUGAUUAUAAAGAUGCUCUACAGGUGUCUCCGAAGGUGUUUGUUGGGUUGGCAUAGAUUGAGAUUAGGAUUUUUCACUCCGUGUAUCGGAGAGGUGUCUCUAGGCCCUUUCGGUAAUGCACAUCAUUAUAAGCCUUGCAAGCAAUGUGACUAAUGAGUUAGUUGCGGGAUGAUGCAUUACGGAACGAGUAAAGAGACUUGCCGGUAACGAGAUUGAACUAGGUAUGAUGAUACCGACAAUCGAAUAUCGGGCAGGUAACAUACCGAUGACAAAGGGAACGACGUAUGUUGUUAUGCGUUUGACCGAUAAAGAUCUUCGUAGAAUAUGUAGGAGCCAAUAUGAGCAUCCAGGUUCCGCUAUUGGUUAUUGACCGGAGAUGUGUCUCGGUCAUGUCUACAUAGUUCUCGAACCCGUAGGGUCCGCACGCUUAACGUUCGAUGACGAUUUGUAUUAUGAGUUAUCUGAUUUGAUGACCGAAGUUUGUUCGGAGUCCCGGAUGAGAUCACGGACAUGACAAGGAGUCUCGAAAUGGUCGAGAGGUAAAGAUUGAUAUAUUGGAAGGUAGUAUUCGGACACCGGAAGGGUUCCGCAGUGCAUCGGGUACAUACCAGAGUACCGGAAGGGUUACCGGAACCCCCUGGGGAAAGAUAUGGGCCUUAUGGGCCAUAGGAGAGAGGCUAACCAGCCCACAAGGCGCUGGUGCGUCCCCCACAAGGGAGGAGUCCGAAUUGGACUUGGGAAGGGGGCGCCACCCCCCUUUCCUUCUCCUACUCCCUCUCCUUCCCCUUUUCCCCCUCCGGUAGAAGGAAAAAAGGGUAGGGCCAAAUCCUACUAUGACUGGAGUCCUAGUAGGACUCCCCUCUCCCUGGCGCGCCCCUUGUUGGCCGGCCUCCUCCUCCCCUCCUUUAUAUAUGGGGGCAGGGGGCACCCCAAAGGCACAACAGACAAUCUAUUAGCCGUGUGCGGUGCCCCCUCGACAGUUCAACACCUCGGUCAUAUCGUCGUAGUGCUUAGGCGAAGCCCUGCGCCAGUAACUUCAUCAUCACCGUCGCCAUGCCGGCGUGCUAACGAAACUCUCCCUCGUCCUCAACUGGAUCAAGAGCUCGAGGGACGUCAUCGAGCUGAACGUGUGCUGAACACGGAGGUGCCGUACGGUCGGUACUUGGAUCGGUUGGAUCGUGAAGACGUUCGACUACAUCAACCGCGUUACUUAACGCUUCCGCUUUCGGUCUACGAGGGUACAUGGACACACUCUCCCCGCUCGUUGCUAUGCUUCUCCUAGAUAGACCUUGCGCGUGAUCGUAGGCAAAUUUUUUGAAAUACUACGUUCACCAACAAAUAUUUCCAAACAUCACCCUAAAAGGAAAAAAGAAAUCUUGCUCUUCGCUCCAUUGACUGAAUAAAUAAGAGCAUCACAAUAUGUAAUUCAACGAUACCCCCUCUGUAUAUUACUUUACAUAUGUAUAUUUUAGGUAUUGGUAAUUAUUUGUUGGCAUAGUGUUUGUCUGCAUUUGUCAUAUAUGAGCCCAUUAUUGACUUCUUAAAAUGUUGAGACCAUUUUUUGUGGAGUUUGAUGCUCUUGUUGUUAUCUAGCCUCACAUGAUUUGACCGUUUGAUGGAAUUUAGGUUGAUCCUUUGCUUUCAGAUUUGUUAGCAAGUAUUCAUAUCCUAUUUGUUUCUUGUCAGUUAGAGAGAACAAUGAACAAGUGUACUCCAGUUGCUUCUGUAUGUAAAACAACUAGAAUGCAAUUAAGCGCCGUGUAGUACUAGCAUAUGAUAGAUUACUAAUCGCAAAUCACGGUGAAAGGCAUUAGGAACACCAAUUUACAACUGCGAGUAAUCCCUUUUGAAUACGGUGUCAUUCAUUACAUGGGUGCAUACUCACUAUAGUUCGGCACAUUUGAAUAGUCAAUGUCCCUCCCCCUCUCAGGCGCAAAAAAAUGACAAUGUCCAAAAUGCAUAUACUUCUAUCUAUCACGACAAUUUGUACCCUCACUAUAAAUGCUAUUACUACGCAACUACCGCUUCUAAUUACGAGUUCUUUUAGAAUGAUGGAUCUACUUAAUGAAUUCAGCUUCUAAGAACUGUAUUUAUAUGCCUAUUUGACAAUUUCCCUUUGAGUCUGAAUGAAUCACAGGAAAUGGAGAGGUUUACUGAGAGUGUGGGGGGAAUUUGCAUGCUACUGUCCGGAAAAGUGGUAACAAUCUACAGUAUAGGAUAUGGAAGAGUGUAAAUAGUAGUUGUAUUUUGUUCUCCAAACAUAUCUUUCUCGGGCUAAUACAUGUCGUGUAUUGAAUCAUGUUGUAUUAAGACGUAUCACACUGGAAUUAGCUUGUCGAAUGACUAUAUUUUACAAUGGCGAUUCAGAGGAUCAACUACUAGAUUUAAUGCUCUAAAUUUACAACAUAUCAAAGACCGAAUGAAUGAAAGAAUACAUUAUUAUCUCUAUGCAGCAACAUGACAAUGACAUCCCACCUUUGAAAAUAUAAUUUGAGCAACAUCACAAAUAUUGUGUAUCUAUUUAAUUCAAAUAUAUCAGGGAUCAUUUUCCUAUAUUGAUGUGCAUCUCAUUUGGUUAACAUUUGAGACGUGUGUUGCACGUGCGUGCUUACUAGUAAUGUAUAGUAUAAAAGGAUUAGAUGAGAGAUUUAAGAAAUUGUUGACUUGAUUAAAAUUGGGUGAUUCAAUUCUAAUUAGACACCUCAACUGAUCGUGGGGCCUUUUAACCUAUGUUCAAAUUGGCCCUCCCACAAUUAGAUCGAACAUGCUAAAAUGCGUCAAUCAGACGGAAAAAUAAGGCCAGCCGGCCGCUGCCUAGCACGCGCCUUCUCAGAGUCAAUCGAUUCGCGAAACCGCCACGGCCCCACCCCCACAAUCCACUCCGAUUCCAUCCACGUCUCCUGUAUGGGAUUUCUCGACUGCUCGUCCGAGUCGAAUUCGGCUCUCCCACUUGUUUCAACCGCCAUGACCCUUGAGCUAUAUAAGCAGGCCCCUGUUCCGCUCUAGGAGCACAGCCUGCGACGCUCUCGUAGUCAAUCAAAUUACAAACCAGCGUCCAAGUUCGUCCGCUGGUGUACGCGCAGCUAGAGUAGGCAUGGCCACCGCCGUGAACGAGCACGUCCUGCUCAGCCAACCCGACAAGCUGGUCCUGCUCGCCGAGAUCCCGGCCGCAGACUCGUGCGGCUCGUCGCAGCCCGACGUCACGUUCCGGCUGCUCGUCGAGCAAUGCAGCGACUACGGCGGCGGCCCCGUGGACGUCGACACGAUGGAGGACGUUUCCUGCCGCGUGCCGCUCCGCGACCUGGGCCGCCGGGGCGCCGCGGACCGGGCGUUUGCGGGCCUCGUGGCCAGGCUCAACAACCCGAUGCUGCGCCCGGAGGUCGCGACGGAGGCCCGGAGGGCGGCGGAGCGCGGCGCGCUCGACGAGCUCGGCGGCGUGGAGUUCCGCCUCCGUGUCGUUUUCGUCGACGAUGACGCGUCCGAGGAGCCGGCGGCGUCGGACGAGGACGAGAGCGGGAGCGACAUGGAGUUCGGGGAAUUCGACCUGAGCGGCGCGCGGAGCCUGCACGGCCAGCGGGCCGUCGCCGCGUACGAGGAGGACGAGGACGGCUGCGGCGCCCAGUUCAUGGUGCGCCCGUACCGCGCGGGGGAGGGGGCGAGCCUGCUGCUGUCGAGCUUCGAGGCGCGCUCGGACGGCCCCGAGCUGACCGAGCAGCACGAGCUGACGUCGCAUGACAUGCGCCGCCUCGUGCACCUGGCGCUGGAAGGGGGCGCGAGCAUGGAGGACGACGAGGCCUACCAGCGAGCGCUGGCCGGCGGCACGGCCGUGUCCUCGGCGUCGCGCGCCGCCAUGGUCGACCAGGCGCUGCAAUCCGCGAGCCACCAGCAGCAGCGGUCCAAGUCACCGAGCCCGAUCUUUCCGAUGCGCUCCGGAUUCUGAUGCCUGACGGAUUGGAACAAACUUUCCUUUUUACGGGUCUUUUGGUUGGAACUUGGAAACCCCCACCGUGUAAAGUUGGAAUACUAUUUUCUUUUAUUAGGGUCACAAGUUGGAAAUUGGAAUACUCUUGUGUGUAAUGGCUCGCAACCGCUCGAUCACAUUGUAACUGUAUGACUCUAUCGAGUGACGACGUUUUUCUUAAGAGAGAGAAUUAUGUGUGUUCUAGCCAUCGAAGUUCAAUUAUUUUCAUUACAGGAAAAAAAGGUGGCUGCUUCUUACUCCCACCCUUCAUAAAUAUAAUAUGUUUAAACUUUUUCUAAAUCAUAUGUAUAUAGACACAUUUUAGUGUGCUUGUUCACUCAUUUCAAUGCAGGUAGUUCAUAUUAAAAGGGAGCACGUGCUCCCAGGAGCAGAAAUUUCUGAUACUAAAAUAUCAAAAACAACUUAUAUUUGCGAACGGAGGAAGUGUCGGCUACCUUAUCUUACGUACAGACACAAUAUUAUAUGUGUAUUGCAUCAGCCGUUGAAAAUUUCAUGUUUACUACGGUACGUGCUUGCAAAACUAUCACAAUGGACCCUCAAUAAAAGACUGAGGCAGAGGUGGCGUACACUCAACAGUAGUAUGACAGGAAACGAAUCAAAGAGUGACAAGAUACAUAAGCAGCCUAGGAGACAAGUGAAAACUGUCAGAAGAAAUGAAGCUGCAAACAGCAUAGAUUUUAAAAUACGACAUGCGCUGUUUAUACAAACUGACUAGAUUACAUUUCUGGCAACUGUCAUAUCGCCAGUAAAGAAAGGUCGGCACAAUAACUUAGAAAACCUGUAAACCUCACACAGCACCAAAAGCAUCAUCACUACAGAUUGUACACGCAAAACAGAACAGCAUAAAGACCCGAUUGCAGUGGAUUCCAAAAUAUACAUGGCACACUGAACUAACGGAGAAAGGCAAAAGUCUAAGAAAGCAGAUAACUGCGUCAACCAAUUCCGUACCACACUAGCACUACGUUGGGGUGGGGUUGAGCUUGAGCAGAAUGAUGUCCAUCUGACAGCUACAGUCGCAUCAUUGUAUAACCAGCGAGACCUGCGUGUAGAAAGCUCUUUCAGUCGAGUAAACUUCUGCAGCAAAUGUCAAACAUAAAAACUACUCCAAGUAUGAACCUUGAUUCGCUCAUCGUGGACCAAUGUGUUACUACACUAGUCACCUAACUGCUUUUGGUAAUUGGAAAAUUUCUGGAGUUAUUCAAUACUGAAAGGUACCUUAUAAAACUUCACAAAAGAGGAUCUUAGGAGUCAUGACUUAAAAGGUGUGUCUUUUGUUAUUUACACGAUAAACAUAAAAACAUGGUUAAUGAUUACUAGGGUUAAAGGAUUUAGUAAUGCCACUGCCAACGAUCAGAAUAGAUCUAUUUUCACACGACGACGUUCUACCAAAUAAAAGGAGAUUGCGAAUAAUGUAGGAAUUGUUCAACAAGGUCAUGUGAGAACAAUGAUCCAACUUUUCAGCAAGGUUUCGAGUAGCAAUUCAAGUCAAUAUGCCCAUAUAUCAAAUCACACAUUACCUUGGUAUUUACACAACUAACUUCGACUCAAGUGCGGCCGCAACAUUUGCAUCUCCAAGGUCCUGUUUUCAUUACAUAAAGCUCAUCAUCUCAUAUCAUGGAACACACAUUAUAUAUAAAAAAUGGAGUACGAGAGUACCUCCAUCCCCCAUUUGAUGUAGUCAGGUGAUUCGCAAGCCUUGUAUUCAUCAACCAGACCCUCUAUAAUUUCUCGAGAUUCAUCAAAUUCAGAGAGAUCAUUGUCCUGCAUAUUGUGGCCAGACAGAUGAUCAGCAUAUAAGGAUAAGCUUCACACAAUAAUAUGUAGUACUCCAGGGUAUGUCCUAAGAAAAUCACGUGGGUGGUUAUGUUACUGGAGGAAAAUAAUAUAGCUUCGAUUUCCAGUCAGCAUUACAUAAAACUGCUAGCAAAGUGUCUUUGUUCUGUGUUAUCAAAACAGGCUUUUGAUCUUGAACAAUAACAUCGAGAGUUUCAGGUGCAAAGUAUUUAUAAAUUCCACAAGCCUUAUAACAUUUAUACCAACUUAAAAGUAAACAAAUUCGAAACAACUAAGAAAAAAUGAAGAAAUAUAGCGUUCUUACCGCAAACAUCGGGAACUUCCUGUAGUUGUCAAGAAAGGCUUGCUUUUUCCUCAGCUUUUCAUACUGCCCCAGACAUUUGCUGAAUAAGUGACGGAUGCUAGUAUGAUUUGCUAACAUCAAACCACUAACCUGUGGCAAAACAUUGUUUAUUAGAAUGCUAGCAUUAAAAAAAAUACACCCUCUGUUCCCAAAUGUAAGACAUUUUUGCAGUUCAUCACAAGAAAGAAAGAUCACUUUACCCUGUGGGUGGUUUGAACAUAUGGUGAUUUUCUUGACAAUGCAACCUGUAGCAAUUGAGAUGCUCAUAAAUUAAAGUGUCAAGAAUUUAAACUGAAAUUUGCUCUAGUUGGGUGCUCACCUGAAUGCUUGCAGGUCCCCACUCUACGAAGUUAACAAGCUUCCUUUCACGUAUCCUUUGUAGGCUCUCAUGGACCUACAUACAUGAGAUGAUGAGAUGACCAAAGUUAAGCACCAAAGAAUAGAUAAAUCAACAGGAUACAUAAAAACCAUCACUAAGCUCCAGUUAAUUGCUACUGGUCAAUAAACAUCAUGAUGAAAACCUACAGUGCUACAUGUUUUUCAGGAACUUCUGAUAUUGAAAUGGACAGACAGGGUUUGCUUCCUAUGAACAAGGCAAUGUGCAGUGCAAAGCCAAAGACAUAAAUUUUUACCUUUUGACUGUUUUAUGUGAAUGCAUAGUGCCACAAUUGUUAAUAUCAUAAUUAAGUUGGCAUACAUAAGCAUUGCGCCAGUAAAUCCAUUUGACAGAACUGUACCUGUGUUGGGUCCACCUCUCCUUGAAUGAUGUUAAGUAUGGAGAUGUAUUUAGCCUGACUAGCUUCCUUGGUACGAGCGUAAGAUGACACCAUUAUGUUCUUUGUCUGUAAGAUAAAAUAGAUAAAGGUUCAAACUCAUGAAGACAAAGGAGAUUAGAAAGCAACCUGGGGCAGGGGUAAUAUUACCUGCAGAAGUCGUCUCAUAACAUCUAAUACUGUCGUCUUGCGUAUCAUGUUAACCUGCGGUGGCACACACAAUCAAAUCAGGUCAAGCAUUUGUCACCAAAAAGGCAGAAAACAAAAAUGUAGCAAGUCUGACACAAAUACACUGGCCCUAAAUUUCAGUCAAGCCAACUAGAAAGUUAAUAAGUACAGAAGAUGUAAAUUCAAAGUGUAACAACUGGGGAUGCAAAGUUACCUGUCGUUCAACGGUCAAUGGAGUAUAACCUGUCAUAAGAAAAUGGCACCUUGGAGUAGGAAUCAAGGAGGCGAGAAGGCCAGCCAGAUCAUUAUUCAUAUAUCCAGGAUACCUCAAGGUGGUUGUGCUUGCAGACAUAACAGUGGAAACCAAAGAGUUUGUUUGUGCAAAAGUAGGAUUUGCUAAAUGAAGACGUUCAACGGCAAUUCUGUUAAGAGCCGUAUUGUCAAGAACAACCACACAGUCAGCAUUCAGUGUCAGCCGCUUCAGAGUUAAAAGGGAGUUGUAUGGUUGGACAACAACAUCACUCGUUUCCAUCUGGUUUGGAAAGACACUAUAUGUCUGUACAAGCUUCUUACUGUAUCGAUCAUUUAGGGUCUCCAGCACAUAAGAACCCAUACCUGAGCAAGGGCAACAUGGACUGCAUUAGACAAUUAAACAAAAUACUAGUGUAUAGUGAACAACAUGAUAGACACUCUUGCAAUACAGCUAUUAACAAAGAACUAAGAAGGAAUGAUAAAGUGAAAGGGAGGAAUCAAACUACGAGAUCCAGUUACCUGAACCAGUUCCACCAGCAAUGGAGUGGCAUAAAACAAAACCCUCGAGGCUAUCACUUCCAUCUGCUUCUCGAUCUACCAUGUCCAUGAUAUCAUCAACGACUUGUUCGCCCUAAAAUUUGAGAAUAGGAUAGAGCAUUAAUCUAAAAGGUCUACUGGUAUCUGAAAUGCAAAAUGCACAAUUGGCUUAUGGAUGACACAAUAGAAAACAUGUAAACUUUGGUAAGCUUAUAGUAACAAUUAUAAGUCUACUGGAUGAAAACCAAGACACAGAGAUGCAACUGCACCUGAUGAUAUCCGCUAGCCCAAUUGUUUCCGGCACCACCACCAUGCUCAGACAAAUAUAUAUUCUCGUGGUUGAAUAGGUUCUUGUACUCGCUGUUCUGUAUUCCAUUGAUCACUCUUGGUUCUAGAUCCAUAAGAAGAGCCCUGGGUAUGUAGUGCUGAUCAUCCGCCUGGUAGAAAAAAACAUCCUUCCUGUCUCCUCCCUGCAGAGAAAACAUCUCUAUGACUCUCAUCUUAACCCAGCUACAAGCAUAGGCAAGAUACAUGGAAACAACAGAUGAUGCAUCCAUUGAUUUUGUACAAAAACAGAAGUACUUGGAUACCAGGUUCACUCUGGCAUAAUCAAGCAUCUAUAUGACCCUCGUGCUAACCCAGCUACCAGCAUAGGCUCUAUAAAUGGAAACAACAGAUGGUGCACCCACUAAUUUUAAACGAAAGCAUAAGUAGCGAAACACUCGGAUACAUGGUUCACUUUCUGGCAUAAUCAAGACGCACUCUCACCAAAGUAUUUCUCAAGGUUCUCAGAUGCUGUACCAGUUGGGUUUAGCAUGACUUAUAUGUACACUCAUAUGUACCAAACGCUUUCUUGUUACUGAAGACACCCUGCAUUUAAUCCUAUAAACAUGCAUUUUGGCACUGUGCCUAAUUCAUGAAUAACAAAACUCCCUUCAGAAACGACUAUUAAACUCCAAAUCAAAACUAACAGAAGCUAUUGUGUCGACUGAAAUCUAUUAAGGUUCACCUUUUCGGGUGAGAUUGUUCAAUUAUACUAGCAUUGAAGUUACAGGCCUACCAGGUUCGCCAUUUCACUAAACCCUGAAACCCAUAAUAAAAGGCUAAAAACACCGUGCCGCAACGAGGAACAGAUCGAACACGCCGCGGCGCUCGCUGAACCGCAGCAAUUGGCCGCGGAAAACGGCCACCACCGAACGAGCAAUAGCGUCGGGCAGCCGGAUCGGGAGACGAGAGAGGGGGAGAAUAAGAAGAAGGCGUGCGGCGAGCGCGAGGGCGGGGGCGGACCUGCGUGGCGAAGUCCUCGAGGAGUCCGUCCUUGCCGAUGCCGUGCUCGAGGCAGAGCUGCUUCCAGAACUCCAUCCCGAUCUGGUUCCCGCAUUGCCCCACCUGUAUCGUGAUGAUCUCGCGCGGCAUCUCGUCGUCCUCCUCCUGCUCCGGCGGCGGCGGAUGCUACGGCUAGGGUUACCGCGGGGGAGGGCGGGGGCGGAGGGAGACGUGGGGCUCGGCCGGCGGCGGCGGCGGCGGCCUAGGGUUUUGGGGUUGCUUCGUUUGGGCGCAAGGGCUGGCUGAGCCGUCCACCAACUGCGAGUGCCGUGGAGUGGAGGCGCUGGAGGGAAGUGGCGUGGUGUGGUGGGGGGUGGAAGCGCGAGGUGACGAGACGGAGAAACAGGAAGGGGAGACGGGGUUUGGGGGGUGGAAGUGGAACAAAAUGCGAGAAUGCGCGCAAAUUUCGAAUUUUCAGGUGCGCCGGAUUCCUGGGAUUUUUUCGCCAGAGUAUAAUGGGAAAGGUGGAUAUCAAUUAAUAUACCUAUUUUUCUUCGUUAUAAUCAAAAAGUCAAUUUUCCUGGUCCUAUGGAUCUGGAUCCAAUGGUCAUCAUCUUCCUCCUACCCCACUCCACGGGUGGUCUUCUUUGUCCGCGAGCAGCAUUGCUACCGCAUGGCAUCACCGUCUACCUUGAUCAAGCCCCUGCCACUGUCGAUCAUAGUGCCGCAGUGCUCAUCCCCCUAACAUCAGGGUCUAGGGUUCGUUCCCUGCCACCAGUGGCCUACUAGCAUUAACCCCUACCCGCUACAUCGACGAAGUCUCAUUCCUCAGCCACCAAUGUUUGUUGUUCUCAUGUCGUCGUUUGUUUAGCAUGGUUACCACAACCACUUUGGCGAGGUCUUAUUCAUAGGGCAUGCCAGUGUCAUUGUUUGUCAUGUAAUUGGCAUUUGUUUAGCAUGGUUACCACAACCACUUUGGCGAGGUCUCAUUCAUAGGCCAUGCCAAUGUCAUUGUUGUAUGAAUCUAGAAUAACUAAACAAAUACUCGCGCCCGCGUCUCAAUCUCAACGCCCCCGCGUCACCUAACUCGGGCGACACGGGGGAACCUAGCGCCGCCGCCACAAAGCUCUCCUCCCCCCACUCCUCUGCAUCACCGCCGCCGGAGGGGCCGCCGGCGAAGCCCGCGCGUGCCCCAGGGAGGGUGGCGGCGGGAUGUUUUCUCCUCUUCCGCAGCGUAGCGCGCGCGGCGGUUGCAUCUUCCCGGCGGCGCGGGCGGCUGGCGGGGUUGCGGGGACGACGUUCGCGCGGGGAGCGGCUGGAUCCUGGCCGGGCUUGGCCGGAUCUGGCUUCUCCGCCCUCGGUGGCUGCGGCGGAGUGGCGCGCGACGCGUCGGCGGGCCGGUGCUCGGCGGCUUCAUGGAGGGGUUGUUGGCGCCGGCGAGGGGCUGCGGCGGGCGGCGUGCAUCGACGACGUGGUGCUUGGCGGCUCCAUGGUGGAGCUGUGAGCGCUGGCGGGCAUCGAGGGCUGGCAUCCGGGGCGGCGGCCCGGGAAGGUGGUUGACGUGUCGGCGGCUGUGGAGUUCGCGCGGGCGAUGCAGCGGCCGCGGUGUGCUGGUGGUGGGAGGCUCGUCCUGCCUGUCUAGGCAGCUCGGCGACGGCGGUUCUUCGGCAGGUCACAGCUCCGGCGGCUCGGGCUGUGGCGUCUGCGUGCUGCGUGGUCUUUGGAUCACCAGAUCUGGCCGGCGGGAGGAUGCGGGGUGGCAGUCUGCCCUUCCCUGCCCGGAGGACGUGCAUCAGUCUUCGUGCUGGUGGUUUGCCGUGGUUGACUCGACAGCAAGGCGUGGUGGUGGUCCCUGCACGGUCAUGGCGCUGUGGUUGUGCAGGGGUGUGCGGGUCAGUGGAGUUGCUUGCGUGAGAGUGGUGGUGUCGAUGAUCCGAGCGAAAGCUUGGCCGGUUCUUGCUGGCCGGCGGCGGCGGCGCCCGUGGGCGUCGCUUUCUUCCUUGGAGGCGGCGUCGAGGUGAUUUGGGCAUCCUUCACUCUCGGGUCAAGAUCUUUGGGCGAAAGUCAUGAUCCUGGUUGGAUCAGACGGCGGCGUCGUCUUCAACGUCGUAUUCCCUCUUGGGGGUGCCGUCUUGAAGAUCUUGGUCCCAUUUGUGAUUCCUGCAGGCUGGAUGUGCACUACAUGGCGGUCGGCAGGUGCCCGACCGGCGAUGAGGUGAUGUGGCGUUGCGACGUGUGUGGCAACGACGAUGGUGGCGAGGAGAGCCGGGUCGCGACUUGUCCUUCUGAUGCCGAAGGUCCGGUGCGCCAAUGGGUGUGCCUAUGUUGGCUUCUGGCUGUGAUAGAGAAGUCGGAGCUGCGGGCGGCGGGGCCACUGCGGCAACGAUGACUUUAUGAGGGCGGUUUUCAACGAGCGGUGCUCUUCGGGUGUUGCGCUGGACUAGGUCGGUGCGAGGCUUAGCUUUCUCCUGUGAUGCUCGUCGGCAAAAUCGGAGCUGCCAUGUUCUCGACGUUGCGGUCGACUAUUUGGCGUUGCUUUGUUGUUCGGUGCUACCUCUCGACGGUUGUGUCGUGAUUUUGUUGGUAGCCAGGUCGUCCGUGUGUGCCCUUUGUAAGGUUUGUAAUUUAGGUUUUCGUCCGGUUUUCCUCUAAUUAACCGAACAACUCUCUUCUUCCUAAUCAAUAAAAAUGGCAAAUCUUUUGCCUUGUUUCAGAAAAAAAAUGUCAUUGUUGUCGUGUAAUUGGCAGCUCUGCCGCACAUUUCAACGACAUUUGAGACUGAGGUCGACUAUGUUAAAGAAACACUUAGCCGGCUGAGCUGAAGAAUAGAUCGGGAUAAAAUGGUCGCAUUGUUGGGAUAAAUGAUUGCAUUGCCUCGCUUUAUUUUUAUCCUAUAAAACUGGGUCGUCCCCUCUAUAAAGAAACUUCUAUUGAGGAAUGGGCGAUACUUACAAAAGCCUCUUUUGUGUUUUUAUAACUUCUUUUCUUGGUGUAAUAACAUUUAUCGUGCUUGUCAUUUUAAUUUAAGAUAAAUAUAUACUCCCUUCGUCCUAAAAUAAUUGUCUCAAGCUUAGUGUACAACUUUGUACUAAGACAGAGGGAGUAUUUGUGCAAGUAAAUCAAUUAUGGACAGCUUACGGUGUGUUUCUUUAAAGUAAAUAUUAGUAAUUACUAUGUUUUACAAAAUCAAGUCCACGUGUUAUAACUAUAUUUUUUGUAAUCAAUGAAUAUUUUUCGAAGAUUUUGGUACUUAUGGCACGACAACUUGCACCAAAUCUGCAUCCAAAAAACUAGAGUAUAUAUGGCGGUACUUAAGACAGCAGAGUUUCGAGUCCUUCAACCUGCAAACUUCUUUUCAGACAUCAAUUGAGCAGUCUUAAAAAUACAUUGCGGCGAGAACGCCGAUUAUUUGAACAACCCUGGCUAGACUUACACUCAAUAGGUGAAACAACAAAGAAAUGAAGGCAACAAGAACCAAAUCACCACCCCAUGACUAAUAAUAUCUGAACACGCUACAAAAUGUGUAACUAUUUUUUCCCUGGGUACCAUGAUGUGGCACCAGCAGGCUGCAAAAGCUCCUUGUAUGGCUAGGGUUGCCGAUCUCGUUGCGGGGAAGACAGCAGGCUCGUGAUGAAACUAAGGACCUUCAAGAGCG
rnacentral:lncRNA from 1 species